rnacentral:lncRNA from 1 species
CUGUAGCCUAUAUCUUGAUCUCUGCUUUUCUUUUUUAUUAUUUGAAUAACUUCAGGCUGUGAUUCAUUUCAUGGAAGAAUUCCUCACCUCCUACUGAUUUGGGGUAUUUUGUCCCAAUUCCAGACAAGACGUCAGUAAAUGCUGACAUUUUUGUUUCAACCCAAAAUGAUGAUGGAACUGAGAACGGGGCUGUCAGCUGAGGACAUUUGUAUUCCCAACAGCUGUGGUCAAUGAGCCAAGCUUGUGCAAGCCCAGUGGUUAAUCACUUGAGGGAAUCUGCACAUCUUUAUUUACCUGAGUCAGCUACCUAAAGGAUUUGCUAAUAGCUGAAAGUUUUCCUGAAUCAUUGGGCUGCUGGGUGCUGUAAGCAUCUGUUCACAUCCUGCCUACCGUAAUUAAAGAGACAGGGAUUUGCUACUUUAAAGAAAGAGGAGAUGGCAGUGCAUGGCUGGACUAAGGGUAAUGUUUUUUUCCAAUAUUGUUAGUGUUGUGUCUUGUUAGUCCUAGUGUCAAGGCCAUUAGCUGUGACUGUCCGUGAGGUAUAGAGCCAUGUUUGGGGGAUUUUUAGCUCUCAAACACUUCUUCCUCAGUUCUUAGUGAACAGAGGACUAAUAAAGUGAUGGAUAAUAGUUUUGUCAGCAGUGCAGGAACACUAUGAACCGUGGAGGGUAACAAUCAUCCCCCAGGAGGGGCCGCUCUGAACUGAGAACCAUCAGCUUGGGGCACAGGUGAAUGAAGUUCAAGUUACAGCACUUUGUAGACCUCAGGUGUCUUUAGGUUGAUCAGUCAUGUCAUGCUAAGUGCCUUACUUGUAAGAAUGAUCUUUUGGCAUAUCCCCAAUCUCAAGGAGAGGAGUUCUAUUCUGAGAUUUCUGAGCUGCCUGGGUAUUGCAGUCUAGGAACCACAGCUCGAGAGAUGGAAGCUGCAGGAUAAAGUGGCCUCUUCUCUCUGAGUGUAGAUCACCACUUGGAAGGAGCUGUGAUAUCAAGUCUGUUCUUAUUCUGCACUCUGGAAUGGGGCCCUGCUCUCUCAUCCUGGCUCUCUGGGUCAACUCCAAAGUUCUGCAGGGCACUGUACGUGGCAUGUGACAGAGCAAGCCAAAAACAAACGUCCAACAUGCAAAUUGUGAUACUUCAAGUCAAACCAUGCCCCUGUGCUGGAUUUCUAGAUCUUGGAAAGGGAAUUAAGGAUGAUACAGAAUAAAACUUUUC